rnacentral:rRNA from 1 species
GACGAACGCUGGCGGCAUGCCUAAUACAUGCAAGUCGAACGCUAGAGCACUCUUCUUUCAGAGUGCGGGAGAGUGGCGAACGGGUGAGUACCACGUGGGAAUUCUGCCUGUAAGAGGGGGAUAGCAUACGGAAACGGAUGCUAAUACCUCAUAUAUUCUUGGACCGCCUGGUCCUUGAAAUAAAGGCGGCUUUGCUGUCGCUUAUAGAUGCUCCCGCGACGUAUUCGUUAGUUGGGGGGGUAAAGGCCUACCAAGACAAUGAUACGUAGCCAACCGGAGGGGGGGGUCUGCCACACCGGGAUGGUGACACGGCACAGACUCGAACGGGAGGCAGCAGAAGAGAAUGUACCACAAGUGGCGAAAGCCGGAUGUAACAAUGCCGAGUGAAGGAAGAAGGUCUUCGGAUAGGAAAGUUCUGCUACUAGAGAAGAACAAGUCAAGGAGUAACGGGUGAGACUUUGAAGGUACCGAAUCAGAAAGUAACGGCUAACUACGUG